GCAAGUCGAACGAGAAAGUCGUCUUCGGAUGGCGAGUAAAGUGGCAAACGGGUGAGUAACGCGUGGGACAUCUACCCUGAUGAGGGGAAUAACUCUUCGAAAGGAGAGCUAAUACCGCAUAUUCCGGUUUACCGGGAAAGGCCUUCGGGUCGCAUCAGGAGGAGCCCGCGUCCGAUUAGCUAGUUGGUGAGGUAAUGGCUCACCAAGGCAACGAUCCGUAGCUGGUCUGAGAGGACGAAC
rnacentral:rRNA from 1 species